rnacentral:rRNA from 1 species
AAAAAUCCAUAGUUAAGCAUGCUUGGGUUAGAGUAGUACUGGGAUGGGUGACCUCCCGAGAAGUCCUAGUGUUUUACAUG